rfam:Daphnia pulex DAPPTscaffold_857_Cont11268, whole genome shotgun sequence.
GGUUUUAUGGUGUAAUGGUUAGCAUUUCAGACUCUGACUCUGACAAUCUGAGUUCAAAUCUCAGUAGGACCU